CAAUAAGCGGAGGAAAAGAAACUAACCAGGAUUCCCCUAGUAGCGGCGAGCGAACCGGGAAGAGCCCAAAUUUAAAAUCUCCAGCUUUCAGCUGGCGAAUUGUAGUCUCUAGAGGCAUUAUCUUCAGCUAGCCGAUCCAAAGUUCCCCUGGAAAGGGACGUCCAAGAGGGUGAGAACCCCGUAGGUGAGGUGAAGCUGUAUCACGAUGUGCUUUCGCAGAGUCGGGUUGCUUGGGAAUGCAGCCCAAAGUAGGUGGUAAAUCCCAUCUAAGGCUAAAUACUGGCGGGAGACCGAUAGUGAACAAGUACCGUGAGGGAAACGAUGCAAAGAACUUUGAAAAGAGAGUUAAAAGUGCUUGAAAUUGUUGAGGGGGAAGGGAUUGGAAGGCUAAUGUGUGUUCUUGGGUUUGAUGCGGGCAGUUCUGCCCGUUGAUGCGCCAUGAACCUGCCAGCAUCGGCUCGGCAGCCGGGACAAAAGCUGCUCAUGUACGCAGUCUAUGCCGGCUGCUGGGCCGAGGAUAAAGGGCGCUCUCUGAGUCCUUCGGGAACGGCGCCCUCUGGAUGCUGGCUUUACGCCUCCAAUCUGCCC
rnacentral:rRNA from 1 species